UUAAUCGAUUUGUAGUCUAACAAAAGAUAGACUUUUUUGUCACAUAAUCGUGUUAGUGUAGCGGUGUAUUGGUUUGGUCGGAGCGUGCCGUGCAUCAUCAAUUAACCCAGAAGUGGGAAAGAUCAGGCUAUAAUAAUUAAUUGUCCGUGGUCACGUGAUUCAUAUUUACCGUUUUGACAUGUGUCCUGUGUAACGACUGCGCGAGAACUGACGUAAUUACUAUCAGAGCGAUUUUAUUCUUGGUGUAACAUUAUCGUGUUACAGGCAGCAGCAAUCAACUAACGUGUGUAAAUCCCCCUCCCAUGCUUCCUCGAAAAAGGCAGGAGAGCAGACGUGAGGAAAGGAGAGGAGAGGAGAGGAGGAGGAAUGCCUGGUUCCGUAUUUUGCGAGUCGCCGGCUCUGUGCGAUAGAAAGCCCUGAAUAACAAAGACGUGUUUGAGAGCAGCGGCGGCGGCAGGGCUCGCGCUCAGCGGUGACGUCAAGGAACAAUGAGUCUCUCCCGACGGUGGAAAGAGGAGAAAAGCGCGAGCUCCCGCACCAAUAACGCACCCUCCAGGGUGAUGGCAUCUGGGAAAAAGCACUGAUACUACAGAGAAGACUGACAUCUACUGGCUGAGCGUCACCCAGCCUCCCUCAUGGAGAAUGGACAUCAGCCAUGACAUCAGAGAGGCAAUUGCUGCAACUGGGCCAUGCAACAGGACAAUGAUCCCAAGCUCACCAACUAAUCUGAAUGGCUAAAGAAGACAAAAAACUGAAUGGCUAAAGAAUACAAAAAUCAAGGUGUUGGAAUGAACAAAUCAAGUCAUCAGACCUCUACUCCACUGAGAUGCUGUGGCAGGAUCUUGUGGCAGAAUGCUGUGCAUAAAUGAAUGUAUUCAACCACCACUGCACUGAAUGUUGUAAAGAUGAAAGAUGGGCCAAAAUAUCUCAAAAAAAUGAUGUGACAGGCUGAUAAACUUCUACAGAAUGUUUAUGUCAAGUUAUUAUUGUUAACGGUAGUUUUACAUGUUACUGAAUUAUGGGUUGUACUUAUUUUCCCAACCUGGUUUCUAAAAGACUACAUAUUGAUGUCUUUUGAGUUUUCUUUGUUGUCACCUUUUACUUAUUUGUAGUACUUGUCAGUUACUACAAAUCAAUACAAAAUGAUUCUAUCUGGUCCUCUUUAUCCUAUGAGGAAACAUUUCUAUCCUUUUAGAGUGUUCCCUCCCAGGAUGAUCCCAUCCCCGUUCACAGAGUAUGAAGAUGGUGUAAAUCAUAUGUUAUAGCUUUGACAGUCACCUCAUCUCAACCCAGUUCAUGAGUUUUGGCAGUCUGACGUGUUAGACAGCUCUAUCCAAAAGCAUCAUUUAAGCACAAAUUAAGGAAAUAAAAAAAAAAAAUGAAAGAAUAGUGUUCGUUCCUCUUGAUAGUGUUUUUUCUCAAGUUUACGAAUGUCUUUAUAUCCAUAUAUUAUAUAAUGUCUGUAUAAAGUAAGUAGACUGCAAGGAUGUUUCAUUUGAAAUGUAGAAAAGAAUGAAAGAUAAAGGAAAAAAAAUAUUGAGAGAGAGAGAAAGAGAGAACGAGAGAGAAGGAUUGCAAAUCAUAUUCUACAAAUGGAAGCUGCUAAAAGAACAGAUUACAGUCUCAAUUAAAUCAUCAUUUUGAGCUGUCCUAAAAGCAGUUUCCCCCAGAUUAGAGAUUCUGAUGACAUCCAGAAAAUUACUCAUAAAGGGUGAAGAUAAGUACAUGGCUAAAAUACACAUCCACUGUCCAUGUGCCAACUGUUCAGACGUGUGACAUGUUGCUCUAUUAAAAUAACAGGGAAGCCUCUGAGCUCCUCUUUCCUAAUCAAGAACAGAUCAGUACUGGCCAAAACUGUGCAGGAAAUUCCUCUAUAUUUCAUUUUUAAUAUCCACAAGACAGUAAGUAGUAUUUCAUCCUCUACAAGAAGCACUCUGAAAAGAAACUGGCGCCAUCUUUUAUGUCCUGCCCUGUGUGUAAUGCAACGUCUCCCAUUGGAACAGUAAAUCUGUAAUAAAAACUGCCAGAUUACUCUGCUUUUAAGAGCAGAUACUUCAAGACUGUAAAUAAAUCCAUAUAUUUGUGUCUAUACAUAUGAGUUACAUAUUUGAUUUUCUUGGCCUAACACAGUUUCUGUAAAAUUACACCCUUUAGUAGAUUUGAUUGCUUUUGCCUACUUGCUUGCGCAUGUAUAAGGCAAAUGUAAUCAAUAACCUAUUGUUCUCAUUAAC